UGCUACCAGCAGACACUGCUCCCUCUUUUUCCUGCUCCUAAUGCCAAGAUUCCAUUAUUUUUUUAAAAAAGGCAAGGCACGGCACGGCACCAAGGCAGCCUUUUUUGGAUUUACUUUGCUUCCUUGCACUGAAAAAGAUACUGACUUUGGGAGCCUUCCCAGAUUUACAAAACUAAAACAAAAAAGUAUGGGGUUGAUAGAAGCUGGGGCUAAGAACAGGAGCUCACCCCAUCACACGAAUUUGAACCACUGACCUUCCGACCAGCAAGUUCUGCAGCUUGGCAGUUUAACCCACUGCACCACUGCGGCUCCCAACCUCUUAGGUUUCCCACAACUCCACUUUGAAUCUAUUUAAGAAGCAAUGAAGGGACCUUAUGGUUGGAAAGGAAUCAAGAAACAAUGAAGGGACCUUAUGGUUGGAAAGGAAUCAAGUAGCUCCUCCUCCUCUUCAUCUUUAACAUUGCUGUGUUUUUAAUAACUUGAAUAUACUUUUUGGAGACUGUAAAAAUACAAGUAAAAACUGGAAUACAAUUUACUUUUGUUUGUGGCAAAAUCAAGGUUUUGAAACUUCAGAGUUUGGAAGAAAAAUGGAAAUAUUUUCAUGCCAUGGAUAAUUGAAUUUGUGGGUGCAGAACCCAUGGAUAUAGGGGGAUGACUAGUUUAUAAACAGGCUUGAAUUGCUUUAGGCACUUCCAGUGGUAAGGAAAGAAUGAGUAUAUGCUAUGAACUUUUUAUUUAUGUAUUUAUGAAUAAACUGAGACUGCUGUACUAUGGAUAAAGAUAUGACAUGGGUCAGUGGAACAGACAAUAACACUGGGAAAACUGGAUGGUGGAAGGAAAAGAGGGUGAUCACACUACAAGAUAGAAAUAAUCAUACAUGCCACAGCCCUGUGUUUGUGGACUUGAGCAUAGUUGUUGACCUGGGAUCCUGGGAGUCACCACCAUUGGGUCACCAUCAGUCAAAGUUGACUUGACAGCAACAUUUUUACAGUCAUACUACAUUGCUCCUUUUACUUUCACAACUCAUUCAUUUUGUUACAUUUAUUUUACAUUUUGAUGAGAUUCUCCCUUUCUUUUACUUUUAUAUGGAAGAAAACAGUUUAUGCAACAACACUUCAGGCCCAUGAAUAAGUAGGAUUUAGUUAUUAAAGGAAUAAAAAUAGAACUACA